rnacentral:rRNA from 1 species
AAUGAACCGGCGAGUUACGAUUUGAUGCAAGGUUAAGCAGUAAAUGUGGAGCCGUAGCGAAAGCGAGUCUGAAUAGGGCGUUUAGUAUUUGGUCGUAGACCCGAAACCAGGUGAUCUACCCUUGGUCAGGUUGAAGUUCAGGUAACACUGAAUGGAGGACCGAACCGACUUACGUUGAAAAGUGAGCGGAUGAACUGAGGGUAGCGGAGAAAUUCCAAUCGAACCUGGAGAUAGCUGGUUCUCUCCGAAAUAGCUUUAGGGCUAGCCUCAAGUGAUGAUUAUUGGAGGUAGAGCACUGUUUGGACGAGGGGCCCCUCUCGGGUUACCGAAUUCAGACAAACUCCGAAUGCCAAUUAAUUUAACUUGGGAGUCAGAACAUGGGUGAUAAGGUCCGUGUUCGAAAGGGAAACAGCCCAGACCACCAGCUAAGGUCCCAAAAUAUAUGUUAAGUGGAAAAGGAUGUGGCGUUGCCCAGACAACUAGGAUGUUGGCUUAGAAGCAGCCAUCAUUUAAAGAGUGCGUAAUAGCUCACUAGUCGAGUGACACUGCGCCGAAAAUGUACCGGGGCUAAACAUAUUACCGAAGCUGUGGAUUGUCCUUUGGACAAUGGUAGGAGAGCGUUCUAAGGGCGUUGAAGCAUGAUCGUAAGGACAUGUGGAGCGCUUAGAAGUGAGAAUGCCGGUGUGAGUAGCGAAAGACGGGUGAGAAUCCCGUCCACCGAUUGACUAAGGUUUCCAGAGGAAGGCUCGUCCGCUCUGGGUUAGUCGGGUCCUAAGCUGAGGCCGACAGGCGUAGGCGAUGGAUAACAGGUUGAUAUUCCUGUACCACCUAUAAUCGUUUUAAUCGAUGGGGGGACGCAGUAGGAUAGGCGAAGCGUGCGAUUGGAUUGCACGUCUAAGCAGUAAGGCUGAGUAUUAGGCAAAUCCGGUACUCGUUAAGGCUGAGCUGUGAUGGGGAGAAGACAUUGUGUCUUCGAGUCGUUGAUUUCACACUGCCGAGAAAAGCCUCUAGAUAGAAAAUAGGUGCCCGUACCGCAAACCGACACAGGUAGUCAAGAUGAGAAUUCUAAGGUGAGCGAGCGAACUCUCGUUAAGGAACUCGGCAAAAUGACCCCGUAACUUCGGGAGAAGGGGUGCUCUUUAGGGUUAACGCCCAGAAGAGCCGCAGUGAAUAGGCCCAAGCGACUGUUUAUCA